CUAAAGGGCUGUUUAGCCUCCUAUGGGAUCCCUUUGUUUCUGUCUUCACCCCAUGUCACCUGGGCUCCUAUUUCCCCGCUUGGAAACAUGCCUGAAAGCGGCUGACCUGAGCCAGGACUCACUGUCUCUGUGGAAAUGGUGAUUAAUCUCUUCCCUUCCUUCCUGUAUCCUUCUUCCCAGCACAGCUUGUGCUACCCAGGGCCCCUGUACAAUCCAGUAGAACCUGGAUGAUCAGAGGAGAGAGACUCCCAGGGAGGACAGGGUGAAAGCAAGCCUUGGGAUGCUGAGGCUGAGACUCCGAGAGUUCUAAAUAGGAUUCCUGAAGUGUCAGAGAGGCAAGGCUUUACCAGGUACUGAGUAAGGAAGUCAUUCCUGACUCUACCGCCCACCACUCUGCUUUACCUUUCACCUGGAGGCAACCAUGAAGAAACAGGACUUAGAAGAAAUCAGAGAAAGGGAAUGGUUUGCUGGCUCCUGGUUUGAACAAUUUAUUUGACCUCAUUGAACCUUAGGGUUUUUUUUUCCUACAAUACAGAAAUAGUAAGCAGUGCCUCCUUCAGAGCAUCAUCAUUAGGAUUAAAUAAAAUAAUGCAUGAAAGACUGAGGUUUAUAAACUACUUCAGAAGUCAUCUUAAAUGGCAAUUCAUCUCUUUGUGUCACUGAUGUCUGUCCUUGGAAUGUCAUAGUAUUGCGUUUGCUUGAGUUUAUUUAGCCAAAGGAAUACUGAAUGGUCAGCUUACUAUGUCCUGAUCAGUGACUAAGUUGGGAAUGGCUCUUUCCGUAGUAAUCACUGAAAUUGACAAAUGCUGGACUUUGCAUUUGUGGGCAGAGGAUUUGUAGGAAGAGAAGAGGAGGCAAAAGAAAGAGAAGGCAAUGAGGAGAUGUAGUGUGUAAGGAAGGAAGGAGAAAAAGAAAGAUUUUGUCAUGAAAGUUUUCCUUCUAAAUCAAGAGCCACGCCAUCACUGUCAGGCUUUGGAGCUAUUCCAGACAGCGACUGCUGGCAAGUGCAAUAACGUGAAUGAAUGGGACCAUUUGAAUUUUUUCUUUGCCAAUACCUCCAAGGAGGUCAGCUAACCCAGUUUCUAUGCUAAAUAUGCAGCUUACUCAAGUGAAGUUCCCUGUCAGCGAGUGCAGCGUUCAAGUGAAGUUUGGCUUUUUAGACCAUGUAUUUUAUCAGAUUCUCUUCUCAGUAACAGUGAGGUGAAUUCAGAGUGUAUGUGCUGAGGUGUGUGAGCUAUCCCACGGUGGUAUCUCCUGGGACCCUCGGAAGCAACGAUGCAAACCUUACCUGAGGCAGGACAGAGAAGCAUGAAAGGGACGGAACACAAGUUUGCUGGCCAGCAAAUGGGAUGGAGAGAGAAGGAAAGAUGCCACAGGCGCAACCAAAACACACACACACACACCAGCCUGCAACUCUUCUCCUCAGCCUUUCCAGGGUCAUUUGUCCAGCAACACUGCAGAGGGUUACCUGAGUCUCCUAUAAUGAAAUGAGAAGUAAAAACACAAGACAGGAGACUCCUCGUUACAACGCGUUGGCAUGAGUGCCCUUGGCUAUUUAAUUGUGUUCCCUGUUUCAGGUUCCAAAAUGCCAGUUCUAGCCUCAAAGCGACCCCACACUGUGGGCUAAUCCAAACCACCCAGACGUCUCCUUGCUUUUCUGUAUAAGCAGAUGGCAGGAAUGUUACUCGUGGGCUUGCAGGAGGUGACACUGGCUUUGAGAUCACUCUCUUCUUACUGAGGAAGUAACCAAGGCCCAAGAGAGUCAAGUGAUGACCAAGGUCACAGUAUGAGUGGUGGUCAAGAUGGGUCUUGAACUCUGUUCUUCUACAUUGCGCACAGAGACUCUGGCCACAGCUCAUAUGAAGCCACCAAAGCUGAAGGCUGAGUUAUUUGUUCAAAUACUCAGAUACUGCUCUCAUACACAGAUGUUCCCAACUGGUGCAGACACUUGCAGGGCCUGGCUUUGCAGCAGACCGCAGCAGUGCUUUUAAUCACUCCCAGCUAGCUGUCCAGAACACUGGACAGCUGGCACUUUCUUACUGGCCUGAGUGAGAAAACGUCCUCAUAGCAAAGUACCAGACACCAAAAUGACAUCUCUGUUCACUCUGGGCGCUGCUUUUUAAAUGCUCGUCAGAAGCCAGGGUGACAAACUCAAUGGACUGAGAACUAGCAAGUGUCAUCGUUAAGGUCUGAGAAAGUGAUAUGAGUUUCCAAGACAGCCAAGCGUUGGCAAAUUCAGAAGUAACGUGUGAACUGUCUUCACCUACAGAGCAAAAGGCUGGUCAGGGUGGAGGAAGAGGUGGCAUCGCGCUCAUGAUCUGCUGGGUGCAGCCAGAGGCACGUCAUGCAGGCCGGCGCCUGGAGAGGGCCAAGGCAGAGCCAGGCAGAGAGGGGAGGCGGCCUGCUCUCUCCAACAAACCAGACGGUCACGCAGACAAAUAAGGAGCUCACAGCAUGGAACAGAGAGGAGCCAGUGCCAGGGGGAGCGGGGGGCAGGGAGGAAGCACCGCAAACCAGGCUAUCCCUGAGCCAGCAGGGGUUUUUGCAAAGAACAUGAUGGGCAGAAGCAGUCGCUUUUCUGGACUCCAGUGUGCUGAUGAUAAUCACUCUAUCCUGAUUCAGGCAGUAGAACCAUGGGCUCCAUCCACCCAGCUUCACUGUGGUUGACAGAAUACGCAGGCCAGUCUGCUGAGCUAAUGAGAACUUGGCCUUAUAAAAGCACGGGAGCCAUGAGCCUGCCUUCUUUACAACAAAGGGACUCCUAAUUUAUGACCUGAAUGGUAAAAAUGCACAGGGAAGGUCACUGGGUGACUUCGAUUUACUUUGACAGACUUUUCUACAUUUCUUGUACCUUUUAGAAUGUACACAGGCUAGUUUAUAGUAACCUUUGUUUUCUUUUUUUUUUUUUUUAAAGCAAACAAAUCAAAAAUACCUGAUGGGUGGUGUAAAGGAUCUUCUGGGAAAAUCUAGAUGAUUUUGGAUUGUGGUUUUCAUUAGAAGAAAACAGGAUUGACUCUAUGGCCAGCUGCCUGUCAUUUUCAGCAAGAUUAAGCCUGUUCUCAUUCCAAAGACCUGUGGGAAAAGUCUUUCUUAGAGGAGCUCUCCCUGGGCCAUGUUACCAUUUCAGCUCAAAUAGUGAAAAAGGAAGGUCCAGGCCAGGAACCCCCAUAGGCGUUUCCCUUCUCUGUCGUGGGUGGGAGCCCUGGGUGGUCUUGAUACUUACAUGGAGGGAGCAAUGCAUGAGGCAGAAAGUGCAAAAUCUGUGGUGAAGGGGACUUGGAAGGAAAAAGCAAAACAUCCUUCUGCUUGAUAGGAAACCAAAGCUCGAGAUUUAAUGCAGUGCCAAGACACUUAUUCCCCUGUCCUUGUUAAGGAAGACAGAACAAUUGCUUUGUCAGCUUACACUUUUCCUAGAACAGCGGAGUGGUUAGGGAGGUGCCUUAGGGCUGCAGGGGAGUUGUGCAUGCAGCAGCAAAAAAAUUUAAAAAAGCUCAAAAAGCCACUUAAAUUUUCUGAAGUUGACAAUCUUCAGUGUAUCAUUUGUGCUCAUGUUAUUUAUUUUUUUGUGAGUCCAAAAUUCAGGCUCCUGUAGUUCCAAGACAGCAGUGAAAAUGCGAAACAGAGCUUUUUCUCUCCCUUGUCCCUCAUGAAGCAGGUGGAGACGGUGGCUAGAGCGAGCUACUGUCAGGCACAGAGGUAAUGGAAUUUAUAGAAAAGCAAACUUUAAGUGGGGGUGGGGUGGGGAAGGGACCAGGCUGAGUCUCAAAAAGAUUUCCUAAAGCUUCUGAAGAGGAUUCAAAAGAUUGUUCUGGAAUUAAAAGCACCUCUUAUUGCAGGCCAUGUCAAAAACAGACUUGAAAACAAUUCAGUUAAAACCCUACAAGCAAUCCAUAGGAAUUCCAUACAGACGCUAUUGAAUUAGACAACUGUGGCUUUCAAGAAGUUUGCACAGAAGAGGACAGCUAUCAUACGUGGUGUGAAAGGCAUCUUUCACCUUGGAAAGUUACUUUUGUAUAGUAGGCUUUCCAGUGUUCACUGAAUUGCAUAUGAAUAAUACACACAGUUCUACAGUGCCCUGAAUGUUGACUGUCUAAUAGCAUCAACAUUAAUAGGGAUGUCAUGCUGCAGAGAACCCUAGUUUUGUUUUAUAAUUAAAAAAAAAAAUGGGCUCCAGACUUCCCAAUCCACUACCUCCGU